rnacentral:rRNA from 1 species
UACGUAGGGCGCAAGCGUUGUCCGGAAUUAUUGGGGCGUAAAGAGCUCGUAGGCGGCUUGUCACGUCGGAUGUGAAAGCCCGAGGCUUAACCUCGGGUCUGCAUUCGAUACGGGCUAGCUAGAGUGUGGUAGGGGAGAUCGGAAUUCCUGGUGUAGCGGUGAAAUGCGCAGAUAUCAGGAGGAACACCGGUGGCGAAGGCGCUCAUCUGGCCCAAUACUGACGCUGAGGCGCGAAAGCUAGGGGAGCAAACGGG